AUUGAACGCUGGCGGCGGGCCUUACACAUGCAAGUCGAGCGGACCGGCGGGCGGGUGAGUAAUGCCUAGGAAUCUGCAUGGUAGUGGGGGAUAACGUCCGGCAACGGGAGCUAAUACCUCAUACUUUCAGUUGCGCCUGGGGCGGAUUAGCUAGUUGGUGGGGUAAAGGCCUACCAAGGCGACGAUCCGUAACUGGUCUGAGAGGUUGAUCAGUCACACUGGAACUGAGACACGGCCCAGACUCCUACGGGAGGCAGCAGUGGGGAAUAUUGGACAAUGGGCGAAAGCCUGAUCCAGCCAUGCCGCGUGUGUGAAGAAGGUCUUCGGAUUGUAAAGCACUUUAAGUUGGGAGGCGUUACCAACAGAAUAAGCACCGGCUAACUUCGUGCCAGCAGCCGCGGUAAUAC
rnacentral:rRNA from 1 species